UGGGGAAUAUUGGACAAUGGGGGGAACCCUGAUCCAGCCAUGCCGCGUGUGUGAAGAAGGCCUUUUGGUUGUAAAGCACUUUAAGUGGGGAGGAGGCUUACCUGGUUAAUACCUGGGCUAAGUGGACGUUACCCACAGAAUAAGCACCGGCUAACUCUGUGCCAGCAGCCGCGGUAAUACAGAGGGUGCGAGCGUUAAUCGGAUUUACUGGGCGUAAAGCGCGCGUAGGUGGCUAAUUAAGUCAAAUGUGAAAUCCCCGAGCUUAACUUGGGAAUUGCAUUCGAUACUGGUUAGCUAGAGUAUGGGAGAGGAUGGUAGAAUUCCAGGUGUAGCGGUGAAAUGCGUAGAGAUCUGGAGGAAUACCGAUGGCGAAGGCAGCCAUCUGGCCUAAUACUGACACUGAGGUGCGAAAGCAUGGGGAGCAAACAGG
rnacentral:rRNA from 1 species